UGUACCCCCACAAUGGAACCUUUUUGCAUACUUGAAAAGUGCUGGUGUACAAUGGAAAUUUUGGACAAGCUUGAGAGAUGAAGUAUGUGGUAUUUUUACUAAAAUCCAAUCAAAACAGGCCACUAGUCCUUUGUUGUUGAGUACCCUAGAACAAUAGAGAAGCAUCGCCUUCGUAUCAUCACGCUCUUUCCUAUCGGGCGCGAACAAGACCAGUCUCGCGACUUCGAUUCUUCGUGCCUUCUUCAUCAAAGGAGAGCGAGAGUGUUUCGAUUCUAGCAUCUUCUUCAUCAAUCGACUGGAUGGGCUGAUUUGCUUCCAAAUUGGGAGACCCGCAGUGGUAACCAAACAACUUAACCAAGGAACAGUAACUCAAUUGAUUAUAUCUUCGUAUUUAAGGAAAUAAGGCGGAUGGCACUAAGGUCGGGAGCUCGAACCCGCUGAGAGUAUUUUCAAUUUUCAUGGGGGGUUUUUCUGGUUUCGUAGGCCUGAUGGUUAAGUUGCGAUUGGCAGCAACUCUCAACCGUGUCUUUGGCUGAGAAGAUAAUAUAUAGUUUGUGUAAAUUUAUGCAGCUGAACACUGUGUCUGAUAUUAAUCUGAGAACAUCAGAAUUUUACACUU